rnacentral:rRNA from 1 species
UAGGGAAUCUUCGGCAAUGGACGGAAGUCUGACCGAGCAACGCCGCGUGAGUGAAGAAGGUUUUCGGAUCGUAAAGCUCUGUUGUAAGAGAAGAACGAGUGUGAGAGUGGAAAGUUCACACUGUGACGGUAUCUUUUACCNAAGGGGGGCGGCUAACUACGUGCCAGCAGCCGCGGUAAUACGUAGGUCCCGAGCGUUGUCCGGAUUUAUUGGGCGUAAAGCGAGCGCAGGCGGUUAGAUAAGUCUGAAGUUAAAGGCUGUGGCUUAACCAUAGUACGCUUUGGAAACUGUUUAACUUGAGUGCAAGAGGGGAGAGUGGAAUUCCAUGUGUAGCGGUGAAAUGCGUAGAUAUAUGGAGGAACACCGGUGGCGAAAGCGGCUCUCUGGCUUGUAACUGACGCUGAGGCUCGAAAGCGUGGGGAGCAAACAGGAUUAGAUACCCUGGUAGUCCACGCCGUAAACGAUGAGUGCUAGGUGUUAGACCCUUUCCGGGGUUUAGUGCCGCAGCUAACGCAUUAAGCACUCCGCCUGGGGAGUACGACCGCAAGGUUG